rnacentral:rRNA from 1 species
CCAGACUCCUACGGGAGGCAGCAGUGAGGAAUAUUGGUCAAUGGGCGAGAGCCUGGACCAGCCAAGUCGCGUGAGGGAAGACGGUCCUACGGAUUGUAAACCUCUUUUGUCAGGGAGCAACGCCGGCUACGUGUAGCCGGACUGAGAGUACCUGAAGAAAAAGCAUCGGCUAACUCCGUGCCAGCAGCCGCGGUAAUACGGAGGAUGCGAGCGUUAUCCGGAUUUAUUGGGUUUAAAGGGUGCGUAGGCGGAAUGCCAAGUCAGCGGUAAAAAUUCGGGGCUCAACCCCGUCCGGCCGUUGAAACUGGGGGCCUUGAGUGGGCGAGAAGAAGGCGGAAUGCGUGGUGUAGCGGUGAAAUGCAUAGAUAUCACGCAGAACCCCGAUUGCGAAGGCAGCCUUCCGGCGCCCUACUGACGCUGAGGCACGAAAGUGCGGGGAUCGAACAGGAUUAGAUACCCCUGUAUCA